rnacentral:rRNA from 1 species
UACGUAGGGUGCAAGCGUUGUCCGGAAUCACUGGGCGUAAAGGGCGCGUAGGCGGCCUGAUAAGUCGGGGGUGAAAUCCUGCGGCUUAACCGCAGGGCUGCCUUCUAAACUGUCAGGCUUGAGCACAGUAGAGGCAGGUGGAAUUCCCGGUGUAGCGGUGGAAUGCGUAGAGAUCGGGAAGAACAUCAGUGGCGAAGGCGGCCUGCUGGGCUGUUGCUGACGCUGAGGCGCGACAGCGUGGGGAGCAAACAGG